CUGUGUGAUUUUUGUUCUUUAGUAGAAGGAUAACAUGACAUAGCAGGAAUAAUACUGCCUUUUCUUUCUGGCAUGGAUCAAGAGAAAAGAAAAUACAAGAAAACAGACAGAAGAUCCUAUCUGCGACAAUUAAGAGCACUCUAAGAGGAAAACACAUCCCACCACACAAGGCAAGGUACUUCUAUGGAAGGGUGAGCCCUCACAGAUGGAGCAAUGGGGCGCGCACACCUGAACAAGGGAGGGGAAGGAGUUCUUAUCCCUGAUGCAUGUGACCCCUGCUGCUGUGUCCUUCCCCUAUUGGCUAAGGCUUCUGACAGCUUUGGAGAUUGUGACAUUGGAAUAAAGGAAAAACGUACAGGACUCAUGAAGCGCUGAAAUGUUCACAAAUAUCAAGCAAAAGUCAAUGAAAUUUAUUUUGAGCUAUUUACAUCAUUUAAUAAUUGAGCAAGGUAUACUCCUAUGAACAAAAUUUGGAGCAUGUUUGUCUCUCUCUGCCUGGCGUCUUCAGAAUUUGGAAACUAGUUAUGGUUUAUAAUCAGCUAUAGAAUUUUAACACGUGCUCUCAAAUGCAAGUUUCUGAUAACUUUGGAGAUUGUGACAUUGGAAUAAAGGAAGAGCUGGAAUGUUCAUGAAUAUCAAGCAAAAGUCAUGGAAAUUUAUUUUGAGCUAUUUACAGCAUUUAAUAAUUGAGCAAGGUAUACUCCUAUGAACAAAAUUUGGAGCAUGUUUGUCUCUCUCUGUCUGCCUGGCAUCUACAGAAUUUGGAAACUAGUUUCGUUCCCAGAUUUCCUAAACUUUCCAGAGAAAAUGGUCUUCUCCCUGGCUCAGCAAGAAGAUGAACUUUAAACACUGAGAAACUGGUCAUCUCCCUGGCUCAACCAGAAGAUGAACUUUAAACACUACUCUCAAUGACUUGAUGUUCCCAUCACUACUCCUGUCAUAAAGGGAGGGGACUCAGAUAUUGAGAAUUUUAUGAUAGUGUGAACUGUCUGCUGUCAGCCAGGAGGGCAGAGCUGAAAUUUAUUGCCACAUCACAUGAAGCAUAGAACAGACUCCACUACUCCUUGAGAUUCAAAACUUUGCCUCUCACAAAGUUACCUUUUAUUUUCCUCUUGUUUGUCACUCAUCUCCCCUAGUGUGCUCUUUUUAUUUCUUUUACUAUUAAUAAUAAAAUCUGUGGAUGACUGUA
rnacentral:lncRNA from 1 species